AACCUUAUGGACCUGCGGGCGUAUACCUGCGGAGGGAUCAUUACAGAGUUCAUGCCCUCACGGGUAGAUCUCCCACCCUUGAAUACUAUACCUUUGUUGCUUUGGCGGGCCGCUUUGGCUACUGGCUCUGGCUAGUAAGUGCCCGCCAAAGAACCCCAAAACUCUGAAUAUUAGUGUCGUCUGAGUACUAUAUAAUAGUUAAAACUUUCAACAAUGGAUCU
rnacentral:misc_RNA from 1 species